rnacentral:rRNA from 1 species
UGCAGUCGAGCGGACAGAUGGGAGCUUGCUCCCUGAUGUUAGCGGCGGACGGGUGAGUAACACGUGGGUAACCUGCCUGUAAGACUGGGAUAACUCCGGGAAACCGGGGCUAAUACCGGAUGCUUGUUUGAACCGCAUGGUUCAACAUAAAAGGUGGCUUCGGCUACCACUUACAGAUGGACCCGCGGCGCAUUAGCUAGUUGGUGAGGUAUGGCUCACCAGGCGACGAUGCGUAGCCGACCUGAGAGGGUGAUCGGCCACACUGGGACUGAGACACGGCCCAGACUCCUACGGGAGGCAGCAGUAGGGAUCUUCCGCAAUGGCGAAAGUCUGACGGAGCACGCCGCGUGAGUGAUGAAGUUUUCGGAUCGUAAGCUCUGUUGUAGGGAGACAGUACCGUUCGAUAGGGCGUACUUGACGGUACUAACAGAAAGCACGGCUACUACGUGCAGCAGCGCGGUAUACGUAGUGGCAGCGUUGUCCGGAUAUGGCGUAAGGCUCGCAG